rnacentral:lncRNA from 1 species
CCACUGGACCACCAGGGGUCCCCACAGCCUUUUGUAGUGUUGUACAAAACAGCUCCCUUUAGGGUUCCUUUCUCUGGCCUCCUGGUGUCUGGCUGGGUGUGCUUGGAGAGCACAAACCCAUGCCCUUGUUUGUGGUUUCCUUCAGCUUUGCCCCAGGUUCCCACAGACCGAGGGCACCACUCAGUCACCCCUGGCCCUUCAGUGCACUUGCAGAACUCACAGGGAAGGCCAGAGCUGCCACCAAGGAGGGAAGCAGAGCCCCGUGGCUGUGGGAAGGACUGACCCUUUGCAGGCUGACAACAUGGAAGGACCCUCCCCAGCUGGGCAAGCUUUGUGCAGCCCUGGUUUCUGUUGCACUCGGGGCA